rnacentral:rRNA from 1 species
GACGAACGCUGGCGGCGUGCCUCAUACAUGCAAGUAGAACGCUGAAGGAGGAGCUUGCUUCUCUGGAUGAGUUGCGAACGGGUGAGUAACGCGUAGGUAACCUGCCUGGUAGCGGGGGAUAACUAUUGGAAACGAUAGCUAAUACCGCAUAACAGUAGAUGUUGCAUGACAUUUGCUUAAAAGGUGCAAUUGCAUCACUACCAGAUGGACCUGCGUUGUAUUAGCUAGUUGGUGGGGUAACGGCUCACCAAGGCGACGAUACAUAGCCGACCUGAGAGGGUGAUCGGCCACACUGGGACUGAGACACGGCCCAGACUCCUACGGGAGGCAGCAGUAGGGAAUCUUCGGCAAUGGACGGAAGUCUGACCGAGCAACGCCGCGUGAGUGAAGAAGGUUUUCGGAUCGUAAAGCUCUGUUGUAAGAGAAGAACGAGUGUGAGAGUGGAAAGUUCACACUGUGACGGUAUCUUACCAGAAAGGGACGGCUAACUACGUGCCAGCAGCCGCGGUUAUACGUAGGUCCCGAGCGUUGUCCGGAUUUAUUGGGCGUAAAGCGAGCGCAGGCGGUUAGAUAAGUCUGAAGUUAAAGGCUGUGGCUUAACCAUAGUACGCUUUGGAAACUGUUUAACUUGAGUGCAAGAGGGGAGAGUGGAAUUCCAUGUGUAGCGGUGAAAUGCGUAGAUAUAUGGAGGAACACCGGUGGCGAAAGCGGCUCUCUGGCUUGUAACUGACGCUGAGGCUCGAAAGCGUGGGGAGCAAACAGG